GGGGCUAUAUAGCUCAGCUGGGAGAGCGCCUGCUUUGCACGCAGGAGGUCUGCGGUUCGAUCCCGCAUAGCUCCACCA
rnacentral:tRNA from 1 species